AGAGUUUGAUCCUGGCUCAGAAUGAACGCUGGCGGCGUGCCUAACACAUGCAAGUCGGAUGUGCCGCAAGGUGCAUGGCAGACGGGUGAGUAACGCGUGGGGAAUCUACCUCUUUGUGGGGAAUAACGCUCCGAAAGGAGUGGUAAUACCGCAUGAGAUCCAUGGCUGGGAUGCUGUGGAUGAAACCUGGGGACCGCAAGGCCUGGGGCAAGGAGAGGAUCCUGCGUCUGAUUAGCUAGUUGGUGAGGUAAUGGCCCACCAAGGCGACGAUCAGUAGCCGGCCUGAGAGGGUGAUCGGCCACACUGGAACUGAGACACGGUCCAGACUCCUACGGGAGGCAGCAGUGGGGAAUUUUGCGCAAUGGGCGAAAGCCUGACGCAGCAACGCCGCGUGGGUGAUGAAGGUCUUCGGA
rnacentral:rRNA from 1 species